AAAAAAACAAACCAUGGUUUCUAUGUCCAACGUUUGACUGUCCGUCUUAUUUAAAAAAAUUAUAAAACAAUUAAAAAGAUAAGUCACGCAUAAAGUAUUAAUUAUGUUUUAUCAUCUAACAACAAUGAAAAUACUAAUUAUAAAAAAAUUUCAUAUAAUACGGACAGUCAAACUUUGGCACGGAAAUCUACGGUUUGUCUUUUU
rfam:Oryza sativa (indica cultivar-group) chromosome 6, whole genome shotgun sequence.